GGGGUUGACCGGUUUUGACAGCGUGUAGAAGCGGUGUGUAAGCGUGCAGAGCCAUAGUACUCGACCUCUUUAAUCCCGGUGCUGCAAAUUUUAAAUGGCGAAUACAAUGUCGCUCUCGCUGCUUGAUUGAAGUACAGUAGAUCAGCUUAAUCCCCGCGACAGUCGCAGGGACGGGACAUCGUCCGAACGCUCUUUUUCCGAGGCGUUCGAAUCGACGGUGUUAAAAAUCGGAAAUAGGCGAUAGGCGGCCUUGAGCCCAUCGCCGAAGUUCUCCAAGGAUAAGGCAUCGAUUGGUCGUCUCCGACCUGUCGGCGCACCAAAACCAACCGGAGACUACGCACGUAGAAAGCACAUUGAUUCCACGUUUGGACGAGGGUUCAAGUCCCUCCA
rnacentral:tmRNA from 1 species